CGAAUGCUGACAUAAGUAACGAUAAAGCGGGUGAAAAGCCCGCUCGCCGGAAGACCAAGGGUUCCUGUCCAACGUUAAUCGGGGCAGGGUGAGUCGACCCCUAAGGCGAGGCCGAAAGGCGUAGUCGAUGGGAAACAGGUUAAUAUUCCUGUACUUGGUGUUACUGCGAAGGGGGGACGGAGAAGGCUAUGUUGGCCGGGCGACGGUUGUCCCGGUUUAAGCGUGUAGGCUGGUUUUCCAGGCAAAUCCGGAAAAUCAAGGCUGAGGCGUGAUGACGAGGCACUACGGUGCUGAAGCAACAAAUGCCCUGCUUCCAGGAAAAGCCUCUAAGCAUCAGGUAACAUCAAAUCGUACCCCAAACCGACACAGGUGGUCAGGUAGAGAAUACCAAGGCGCUUGAGAGAACUCGGGUGAAGGAACUAGGCAAAAUGGUGCCGUAACUUCGGGAGAAGGCACGCUGAUAUGUAGGUGAAGUCCCUCGCGGAUGGAGCUGAAAUCAGUCGAAGAUACCAGCUGGCUGCAACUGUUUAUUAAAAACACAGCACUGUGCAAACACGAAAGUGGACGUAUACGGUGUGACGCCUGCCCGGUGCCGGAAGGUUAAUUGAUGGGGUCAGCGCAAGCGAAGCUCUUGAUCGAAGCCCCGGUAAACGGCGGCCGUAACUAUAACGGUCCUAAGGUAGCGAAAUUCCUUGUCGGGUAAGUUCCGACCUGCACGAAUGGCGUAAUGAUGGCCAGGCUGUCUCCACCCGAGACUCAGUGAAAUUGAACUCGCUGUGAAGAUGCAGUGUACCCGCGGCAAGACGGAAAGACCCCGUGAACCUUUACUAUAGCUUGACACUGAACAUUGAGCCUUGAUGUGUAGGAUAGGUGGGAGGCUUUGAAGUGUGGACGCCAGUCUGCAUGGAGCCGACCUUGAAAUACCACCCUUUAAUGUUUGAUGUUCUAACGUGGACCCGUGAUCCGGGUUGCGGACAGUGUCUGGUGGGUAGUUUGACUGGGGCGGUCUCCUCCUAAAGAGUAACGGAGGAGCACGAAGGUUGGCUAAUCCUGGUCGGACAUCAGGAGGUUAGUGCAAUGGCAUAAGCCAGCUUGACUGCGAGCGUGACGGCGCGAGCAGGUGCGAAAGCAGGUCAUAGUGAUCCGGUGGUUCUGAAUGGAAGGGCCAUCGCUCAACGGAUAAAAGGUACUCCGGGGAUAACAGGCUGAUACCGCCCAAGAGUUCAUAUCGACGGCGGUGUUUGGCACCUCGAUGUCGGCUCAUCACAUCCUGGGGCUGAAGUAGGUCCCAAGGGUAUGGCUGUUCGCCAUUUAAAGUGGUACGCGAGCUGGGUUUAGAACGUCGUGAGACAGUUCGGUCCCUAUCUGCCGUG
rnacentral:rRNA from 1 species